rnacentral:rRNA from 1 species
GACGAACGCUGGCGGCGUGCUUAACACAUGCAAGUCGAGCGGAAAGGCCCUUCGGGGUACUCGAGCGGCGAACGGGUGAGUAACACGUGAGUAACCUGCCCCAGACUUUGGGAUAACCCUCGGAAACGGGGCGUAAUACCGGAUAUGACAUGAGAUCGCAUGGUCUUCAUGUGGAAAGUUUUUCGGUUUGGGUAGUGGGCGUCGCGGCCUAUCAGCUUGUUGGUGGGGUGAUGGCCUACCAAGGCGACGACGGGUAGCCGGCCUGAGAGGGCGACCGGCCACACUGGGACUGAGACACGGCCCAGACUCCUACGGGAGGCAGCAGUGGGGAAUAUUGCACAAUGGGCGGAAGCCUGAUGCAGCGACGCCGCGUGAGGGAUGACGGCCUCGGUUGUAA